CCUAGUUGAUCCUGCUAGUAAUCAUAUGCUUCUUUCAAAGAUUAAGCCAUACAUGUGUAAGUAUGAACUAAUUCAGACUAUGAAACUGCGAAUGGCUCAUUAAAUCAAUUAUAAUUUGUUUGAUGGUAUCUGCUACUCGGAUAACCAUAGUAAUUCUAGAGCUAAUAUGUGCAACAAACCCCAACUUCUGGAAGGGAUGCAUUUAUUAGAUAAAAGGUCAACGAGGGCUCUGCCCGUUGCUCUGAUGAUUCAUGAUAACUCGACGGAUCGCACGUCCUUAGUGCCGGCGACGCAUCAUUCAAAUUUUUGUCCUAUCAACUUUCGAUGGUAGGAUAGAGGCCUACCAUGGUGGUGAAGAGUGACGGAGAAUUAGGGUUCGAUUCCGGAAAGAGAGCCUGAGAAACGGCUACCGCAUCCAAAGAAGGCAGCAGGCGCGCAAAUUACCCAAUCCUGACACGUGGAGGUAGUGACAAUAAAUAACAAUUCCGGUAAUUGGAAUGAGUACAAUCUAAAUCUCUUAACGAGGAUCCAUUAGAGGGCAAGUCUGGUACCAGCAGCGCGGUAAUUCCAGCUCCAAUAGCGUAUAUUUAAGUUGUUGCAGUUAAAAAGCUCAUAGUUGGACCUUGGGUUGAGUCAACCAGUCUGCCUAGCGGUGUGCACUUGUCGUCUCGUCCAUUCUGCCGGCGAUGCGCUCCUGGCCUUAACUGGCUGAGUCAUGCCUCCGGCGCUGUUACUUUGAAAAAAUUAGAGUGCUCAAAGCAAGCCUACGCUCUGUAUACAUUAGCAUGGGAUAAAAUCAUAGGAUUUUGGGUCUAUUCUGUUGGCCUUCGGGAUCAGAAUAAUGAUUAACAAGGACAGUCAGGGGCAUUCAUAUUUCAUAGUUAGAGGUGAAAUUCUUAGAUUUAUGAAAGACAAAUAACUGCGAAAGCAUUUGCCAAAGAUGUUUUCAUUAAUCAAGAAUGAAAGUUGGGGGCUCGAAGACAAUCAGAUAUCGUCCUAGUCUCAACCAUAAACGAUCCCGACUAGGGAUCGGCGGAUGUUGUAAUGACUGUCUCUCUUAUUAUGCGACUCUUCUCCUACUAAAACUAUGAGACUUAUCCUUUCAUUCUCUGCUCCAUCUUCUUCUACAUGCCCAUCAGAAAGCCAUGCGAAAUCAAGAAAAAGUUAUGAAACAAACUGCUUUAACAUUUACCAUUCCGAAACUAAUGUUCUGCUUUCUCUGCAUACUCAGUAUUCUCUGCAUCUUCUACUCUCUAAACUCAUUGUUCACUUCCACCCUACUGAAAGAAACUCCUCUCAACCCUCUUAACGAAUAUCGUCGUCACCUUUGUUGUCCAGUAAUAUCCUCUAUUAAUCUUCCUACGCAUACGCCUAACAGAACACUAUCAGCCGAUAAGCAGCCUCCUCUUCAAAAUCCUGAAAAACAAGUUAACACAAGCCUCUACCAUAUAGUUUUCAGCAUUGCUGCAUCUUCCAGGCUAUGAGAUCGUAGAAAAGAAUAUGUCAAGUUAUGGUGGAGACCCAAUGAAAUGCGAGGCAUAGUUUGCUAGACAGGCCUGUCAAAGAUGAUCCUGGAGAUUAUAAUCUUCUGCCACCAACAAUGAUAUCGAGUGACACCUCAGAAUUCCCCUAUAAUAACAAUGAAGGUAAAUGGUUCGCGAUUCGGAUAUCCAGGAUAAUAUCAGAGACAUUGAAGCUAGAAAUGAAGGGUGUGAGGUGGU
rnacentral:rRNA from 1 species